UAUCAUUGUUAUAAACUUCAAUUUUAGUAGUACCAUUGUUGCCUUAGAAGACAGGGCUUUUAUUUAUUUUUUUAUUUUAUUUUUUGAAAGUUAGAACAGACUUCUCGAAGUACCUGCAUUCUGGGUCACUCAUACUCCCAAUAACAUGAAUAAAAUAUAACCUAAAAUAAAAUCUAUAUGCAGUCUUACUUGACCAAUUUUACUUUAAAUCCAAAACUAGUUUCUGGAAAAGACUAUUCCGUCGAAGACAGACAGUCAUGGACACAACUGUUACUUAUUUUCUGUUGGUGCUAAAGAUCCCUGUCAAAUAAAAGUCCACAGAGAUUCUUAUAAAUGCAUUCAGGCUCAUUAAUUCAAAAGGCUUUUGAAGAUUUACAGAAACUAUAGCCCAAAAGCACUUACAUUAAUACUCCACAGAUUUGCCUUUCAUAGCAAAAAUGCAUUUAUAUAGUGGCCCAUCUACACGAAAGGAGCUUAAAUAAUAAACAAUGGCUUUUAAUGGGGCCUAAUUCUAUAGAAUUCUUCAAGUGAUACUUUAGUCCUGAAAAGCUCUAAAAAUUAUCCGUGUAAAUAUUCGGUAAAUAUUAUGAUUAUGUAAAUUCUGUGUCCUCUCCUGCUUCCAAUUUCUCAUAAAGAAUACUUAUUUUUUGAAAGGUACAUUGGCAAGUAAGAGUUUUCCAUGACUUAGUCCAGUGAAACUUUUGGACCCACAACUGAGUACCCAUGAACCAUAACUGGGUAUUUCUUUUCCUAAUUUCUUCCCAAAUUCAUCAUCACUAUUUAUCACUUUUAAUUAUUUUUGUUAAAAUGUUUCUCCAAAUAAUAAGAAUAUGCCUUUCCUCAUAUGAACAUCUAAUGUCUAUCAGAUUUAAGUUAUCUUGUUGAUUAAAUCAUUGAAAUUAAGAACCCUUUGCUUGCUUACUAUGACUGCCUAAAAAAAUCCUCAAUUAAAGUAAUGACUUUAGAGAAAGAGUGAAGCAUAUUAUUAACAGACAAAACAAACUGUUCACAUCUAGACACUCCCUUUAUUUCCAGGACUACAUUUGUCAAUUAUCUCUGACCUCUGCUUCUUAGAAGGUGAAGGAACAAUGCUUAGCCAUUUAAAGAGAAUAUUUAAUGUCACAUAAAAAACAAAACAAAACAAAACAAAAAAAAACUGGUGGCAGAAUAGGAGAAAAAACUGUGCUCUAUGCUAAUAUGUAUCUUUGAAAAGUAUGUAUUUGUAUAAAUUACUAAGAACUGAACAAAUCAUUUCCUAUAUCAAGAUCAUGUGGGGAAGUUGGAGUAAACCUGUGCCGAGAGAUUGAUAUGCAGGCAAGGUUAUAAGAAGAAAAAAAAACAAAAACUCACAAAGCACAAUGAUGCAUUCGCUCCCCCUGUAAUCUUGAACACAGUUUCCCCCCAGGCCAUCCUGACGCUGCCUGGGGCAUUCUGACCUAGCAGCUACAACCUGACAGAGCGACUUGGCUUACCUGGGCGCCUGGCUUUGCCAUGGCAACCUGAGUCUUGACCUUUCGUCUUUUUCAACACGUUGCCUGCUUUCAGCAUCUGCUCUCUUUGAGAUCUUUGUUUUGUUUUCUCCAUCCCUAACUUGGUGAAUUCAACUUUGACUCCUACAGCUUGCAGAUUUUUCCUGGAAAUCUUAACCCUAGACUGAACCUUGAGCCCUCGUGUAUCAAGCCUUAGUGGACAUAAAGGCCUCCUUCCCUGGCACUUUCGAUUGCAUAAUGGCAAGCAUUUCUACUCACGCUAUGAACCACGCUGCCAUUUAUCGUUGAAAGCAAUCUCACUGAUGCAUGAAGGACAACUUUCUCCCAUGUGAUUGAUUGUUGUGACUGUGAAUCUCCCCAGAUCAAUGUCAUCUCCUCUUCUGUUAAAAGGCAUUGCUCUACCUUUGCUCUUUAUCACUUGAGACAAAGAGAGGCCAAUCUCUAAGCAGAUCUCCUCUAAUCAGAACAUCCUGCUUCUCUGUCUCCGUUUCCAGCGAAGGCAGAAUUUCUUUGGAUGAUACUGACAGUGUUUUCACAAAUCAACAACACACAACACCUUCCACUCACCAUUAUCAGCCUGUAACACAUAAUUGCAUUGUUCUGGUACUGUACAAUGACCUCCUGGCUGUGUUCAAAUUUCAGAAGCCAGUUUUGCCAUUAGUCAUAAAAUAUCCAUGUGAGUUAUUAAUAUUUUGAAUUGUAUUCUGAUACACUUCCUCCAACACAGCUCAGUAUUCUUGAGCCUUAAAUAAUUUACACAAACACUGGACACAUUCAGAGUUGUGUAUAAACAUAGAAUACAUAUUGUCUCUAGACAUUUUGCCAAUUUCAUUAACAACACAAAAUAUGUGGAGGUCACAGAAGGAAUUUGUCAAGUGUUUCAUGUGGUAACUUUUAUUGCUAAAGAAAGAUCUAAAAAUCUAGUUGAAAUGUUCACAUUAGAUGGUUGCAAAAUUAGCUUCAUUUCUACUCUGCAUCUCUGCAAAAACAAACAUACACAGAUGCAAAGAAAAAUAGAUAUGGAUUAAUUUGGAACUGUGCAUCCACUGUGUCUUUCAUUAAAGAUGGUAAACAAACCAUGCUCUCAGAUACAAUCCAUGUAGUUACAGCUGUUCUUACAUGGUUGAAAUAUAGUGCCAUUGCAUCCCGACUGUUUAACUGAUGCACCACAUAUUUGAGUGUAGAGAAAAAUGGGGAUCUGUUUGUGUGUGUGUGGGUGGGUGGGGGGGAGGGAGUGGCAAUUUAAGCUGUGUUAGUGUUCCCACCGGCCAGUCCAUGUAACGAGCAGCACAUGGCCCUGGACAUGAGCUGCACUGAUUUCCCUCAGUUGGUGUCAGUUCCUAAGCACCUCUCAGGAUGUAACCUUGACAUUGUGUUGAACUCAAUUCCAAUGUUUCAAGAUAUGCAUUCCUUGCACAACAUGGCCCUUUGCAUGCAAGCCAACUCCUCCACCAGGGAGCAGCCACCUGACACGGUGCUCAAGGACACAGUGUGGGAUGGAUUUAGUGAGAGGCCAGGUAGGGUCCAAAACAGCCUUCGCCUUCAGUGUUUUCCAAGGUCUAUCCCAACUAUACACAAUUCUUGUCUCACCUAAUGACUUUAGAAACUAACCUGAAGACAUGACUCUACAUGAAACAUUGUAAAGUUUUUUAAAGAAUUUUAUGGGCCAAAAUAAAAUUAGCAAAAUACUGAUAAAAAGGUAAAUGGAAGAAACCUAUAAAACCUUUAACUAUUAUUUGAAUUAUUGAGCUGAACAAAAUAUGGUUCAAGGAGAAAUAAACUUUGGUUGCUUAUACAGUAUGUGAGCAAAUUAAUGUUAUUACAACACACACACACACACACACACACACACACACACACUUGUCAAAGAAAUUCUCACCAUAAAUGCAGGACUUGCAAGAUGAAAUUAUCUUCUAGGCUUAAGUUAAACACAGCUUGAGGUUUAGAAAUACAUGUCUGACAUUUAGAUGGGAAUUAAACUUUCAGAGUCUAUUCUGGGAAAAAUAGGCCUUGUGGCAGCAGGCCAGAAAACCUUGGGAAUUUCCUGGGCUUCCAUAAAAUUCCUUCUUCCUCAGAGGAAAGAAGAGAGAAGCUCAUCUUCACCCUGGGGAAUCUCAGAAUGUCAUCAAAGGCCACCUAGUUCCUUUCUUUUAGACUGUAAGAAAACAGGACCUAAUUAACUACAAAAUUUUAAGGGAAAAUAAGCAGAUUCUAAAUGAUUUAGUGCAUGCAUGCUGUUUUUUAAAUUUUUUAUUUGGAGGAUUAUAGCAGUCAGGAUAGGCUAUUGUAUGCUGUGGUAACUAAAUGUCAAUGGAUUAAAACAGUAAUUUCUUACUCACAUAACAAGGCUUAUUUUUCCUCCCUUGGGAAAAUAACAAAAGUGACAAAAGCAAAAAAAUAUAAAAGAACAAGGUUUUCAAUUGAAAGAAGCUAAAAAUUGUGAUUAGGAGCUCACCACUAAAUGUUCGGAGACAAAGCCUUUUAAAUACAUAAAAUAUGUAAACUAGUUCUUACAAACACAUUAAAGGGAUAUAUGAUAAUAAACUAUCCAAACACCCAGAUAAGUCACACAGAUAAGUGAUUGUGGGGCCAAUCUUACCUCAUAUAUGAGGUUAAAUCAUACUAUCUCAUGAGUAUAGAAGUCUACAUGAAGUGUUCUGAUAUGAUUAGCAUAAAAGCAAUUAAGUCCAAGAACCUAUCAAGAACAUUUUUGAUAUUACUCAAUUCAUUUCAUUCCUUUUACAUCUUUAUGCUGAAUACUGAGCUUUAGACAUUUUAAAUAAGGUUAUGAUAAUUAGCCAAUCAAAACAGAUUCUCAACUCCAAAGAGUCACCUAAAAUGUUCACAUAUACUUAGGUCCCAAAGGAUGCCAAAUCCAAGAACAUCCCCCAGCUCUCAUUUGCCUGGUGUAAAGUGAGCUCUAUACCCUGUCACCUCUCACUGACCUUCUGACUUCAGGGAUUUAUGGGAUAGAGACUGCUUGGAGUACCACCUUCUAUGGAUUGUUCCAGUUGUUUUGAAAACACAUCCACAUUUCUACAACUCCUGUCUGGAAGCAUGCUUUUCAGGACAGCACAGAAACUAAUACAUUGGUAUCAAACUUAGAUCAACUACUUUUUAAAAUUUUUUUCCAAUAAUCCUCUGAACAUUUUCAGAUAUGCACAUUUAUUAUUUAUUCUUAAACAUUACAUGGUCAUAAUGGCACAAAGAGGAUUAAGACACAGAACCAGACUCUUAAGAGAUUUCACAGUCACAUGAGGGCCAUGGAUACAGUGCAGAAUUACAGUGCAGUGUGGCAGUGAUGAUGAGGAAAUAACAUGAUGUCCUGUAGUGGGCCAGAGGGAGGGUGAUUAGCUGGCUUGAGGGGGCCAGAAAGGGCCUCGAAGACAGAGGAGAGCAGGCAGAGGGAGGGUGACAGAGCACGCUCAGGUGGGAGGGACACCUGGAAAGAGUGGCAACACAGAAGGACACGGCAGGUAUAGCAGGAGUGGUGCAGUGGGUGGGGACAUCCUCAGGUAUGAAGCUGGUAGACUUGGACAGCUCCAUAUGCCGGUCUUCCCCAAAGGGACGAUGAUGUGGGAUCACUGGAGGAUUUCAGAUACAGUAGCAGCAUCCUGUGAGCUCUUCUUUGCAGCAGGACAACUCUGGGAGACCCUUACUUCCUUUGAGCCCACAUAUCCUAAUCUAUGAAAUGACCCUCUAUGGGUUUUCUUUGCACUGGUAUUCAAUGGUUCCUUGAAUGUGUGUAGAGUUCAAGGUUGACCCUAUCAUUGGUCAAGGCCACCUUCUAUUUCCAUCUCCCAACUUGUUGGAGGCUGUAGUUGGAGGGUCACUUCAGUUCCAGGCGAUGGGACAUGGAGCUUUUCCUUCAGCUUGGAAACAGAACAUUUUCUAUAGCCAGAGCCCUUGUUUAACCAGUAACAUCAACUGGUGAUGAAGCAUGACGCAUCGUUAAUACAGUGAUAAAUUUCCCAUUAGGAGCAGGGCACUGGCUGCCAAAUGGGAGGGCGAAAAGUUAAAAAAACAAAACAAAGCACAUGAAACCAACCCAUUAUGGGUUGACAAAGACUUUUAUUGUCACUGGCACUUUCAGGGAAAGCCGUCACAGAACCUUAAUUAAUAAAUAGCCACGGCCCCGCCAGGCGAGGGGAGGCCGUGCCUGGGUACCUGCCGGGGAGCAACUUGUAGCUGGCUGUGCUCUGAGAAGUGAAUGAACGAGUUGGGGACGAUCAUGGAAGAAGGGAAUCAAGCUCUUUGCUGUCGACAAUUGAACUCUAUAAUAACCCCCCUUGAAAAUGAAUAAAACACACGCCUUCCUCGAGCUUUCAGUAGCCUCUCGACAGUGUGACAGUUGCUGAUUUUUUCAAUAAACAUGAUGUCAAUUAUGCCUUUGAUCCACCGUGCCAAAGUCACGUGCGAGAAGAAUUGAGGAAACGGAGUCUCUGUUUUUUGACACUUCAUAUAACAAUGCUUUUCUGCUUUGUUUACAUCAUCCUGAGGCAAAGCAGCUGCCGAUCUAUACAUUGGGUACAAUCGUUCAGAUGUCAUGGGUUCAUCAUUUGUCAGAGAAACCUGGUCUCAGGAAGAAUGAAGACCACGUGGCAUGGCAUUGCAUUACGUGUGCCUUCCACAUCAAGAUGGAAGGAGAUGUUGCGUUUUCUUCCAGAUUGUUUCUAUCCUACAAAGUCAUCUUCUAUCAAAGUGCAAACAAGCUCACUAGCUGGAAUCCUUUUCCCCUCCCAAGUUCUAUGUAAAAUGUAAGCCACAAAGCUUAAGCUAAUCACUAAAAUUAUUUCCUUC